rnacentral:lncRNA from 1 species
UGAUAUUCCUAAAAAUUGAUAUUUACAAAAUGAUUCUAAAAGCUAUUUAUAGAAUUCUAAAAUGGGGAUGUUCGCUAAGCGAAUCCUUGUUCGCUAAGCGAAUAAGUUCCUUAGCUGAAGAGGUUUGCUGACACGUGUAAUCAAUUGUGACUCAUCAUGUGUUCGCCAGGUGUUCGCUGUAGCGAACACUUUUUCUUGUGUUGUUCGC